UACGUAGGGUGCAAGCGUUGUCCGGAAUUAUUGGGCGUAAAGAGCUCGUAGGCGGUUUGUUGCGUCGGCUGUGAAAUCCCGAGGCUCAACCUCGGGUCUGCAGUCGAUACGAGCAAACUAGAGUGUUGCAGGGAGACUGGAAUUCCUGGUGUAGCGGUGAAAUGCGCAGAUAUCAGGAGGAACACCUGUGGCGAAAGCGGCUCACUGGACCACAACAUGACGCUGGAGGCGACGAAAGCUAGGGGAGCAAACAGG
rnacentral:rRNA from 1 species